rnacentral:rRNA from 1 species
CAACGGCGUAGUGGUGCGGCAACAGCUCAUAUUUGAAAUCUGCCCUCGUGUCCGUCGGUUGUAAUUUGUAGAGGAUGCUUUUGGCGAGGUGCCUUCCGAGUUUCCCUGGAACGGGACGCCAUAGAGGGUGAGAGCCCCGUCUGGUCGGACACCGAGCCUCUGUAAAGCUCCUUCGACGAGUCGAGUAGUUUGGGAAUGCUGCUCAAAAUGGGAGGUAUAUGUCUUCUAAAGCUAAAUAUUGGCCAGAGACCGAUAGCGCACAAGUAGAGUGAUCGAAAGAUGAAAAGCACUUUGAAAAGAGGGUUAAAAAGUACGUGAAAUUGUUGAAAGGGAAGCGCCUAUGACCAGACUUGAGCCCGGUGAAUCAUCCAGCGUUCUCGCUGGUGCACUUUGCCGGGUCCAGGCCAGCAUCAGUUUGGCGCGGGGGAUAAAGGUGGUGGGAAUGUGGCUCCCUCGGGAGUGUUAUAGCCCGCUACGUAAUACCCUGCGCCGGACUGAGGUACGCGCAUUGCAAGGAUGCUGGCGUAAUGGUCAUCAGCGACCCGUCUUGAAACACGGACCAAGGAGUCGUCUUCGUAUGCGAGUGUUCGGGUGUCAAACCCCUACGCGUAAUGAAAGUGAACGCAGGUGAGAGCUUCGGCGCAUCAUCGACCGAUCCUGAUGUUCUCGGAUGGAUUUGAGUAAGAGCAUACGGGGCCGGACCCGAAAGAAGGUGAACUAUGCCUGUAUAGGGGUGAAGCCAGAGGAACUCUGGUGGAGGCUCGCAGCGGUUCUGACGUGCGAAUCGAUCGUCAAAUAUGGGCAUGGGGGGCGAAAGACUAAUC